rnacentral:rRNA from 1 species
AGGCAGCAGUGGGGAAUAUUGCACAAUGGGCGCAAGCCUGAUGCAGCGACGCCGCGUGAGGGAUGACGGCCUUCGGGUUGUAAACCUCUUUCAGCAGGGGAGAAGCCUUUCGGGGUGACGGUACCUGCAGAAGAAGCACCGGCUAACUACGUGCCAGCAGCCGCGGUAAUACGUAGGGUGCGAGCGUUGUCCGGAAUUAUUGGGCGUAAAGAGCUUGUAGGCGGUUUGUCGCGUCUGCUGUGAAAAUCCGGGGCUCAACCCCGGACUUGCAGUGGGUACGGGCAGACUAGAGUGUGGUAGGGGAGACUGGAAUUCCUGGUGUAGCGGUGGAAUGCGCAGAUAUCAGGAGGAACACCGAUGGCGAAGGCAGGUCUCUGGGCCAUUACUGACGCUGAGAAGCGAAAGCAUGGGGAGCAAACAGGAUUAGAUACCCUGGUAG